CCCCCAUUUUUAUUUCUUUUAAACAUGCUUGCUUUUAAUUUUUUUAAUGCUUUAGUGCUAGUAUCUGGGAUUCUGGAAAUGAAUUUAUUUUCACUUUGGGACAGUGUAGAGUACUAAGGUUCUCGAGUCCGACCACCAGGUCUGUCUCAUCCCACCUCUGUGCCCUUGUGAAAACCUGAGCUUCUACCAUCUGUACAAUGAGGAUGUUAAUAGUACUUACCUCCCAAAUUGUUAUGGGAUUAAAUGAGAUAAUUUGUGUGCUUACCACACAGCAAAUGCACAAUAAAUGUUGACCUUUGUAAUUAUUACUUCCUCAUACUCUAAUUGUAUAGACUUCAUGCUUGAGAACAUGGACCAGUUAUUUUACGUUUUGAGACUUUAAAAUUCAUCUUCAUAAGUAUAAAAUUCAUUUAUGCUUACUUUUUCUAUUUUACUAUGUUCACUUUUUAAAAAAAAACAUUUUUUGAGUAGUAGUAUUAAUGGCUGGCAAAAUGUUUGGCUGACAAAUAUUUGAUAUAAUCUGCUUCCUCAACUCAAAUUCAGGGGUUGGUUGAAGUUAAUUUUUUUAAAUUCCAAGGUAAAAGCAAACAUGUAUAUUUAAAAUUUAAUUAAAAAAUUAUAACAUCUCGUGGUCGCAAUAUCUGACCCCUAAUCGUUGGGGACUUUCAUUUCCAACCACUCUAUCUUUGGACAGUUCACUUAGAGCAUAUGAGAAACUUUCAAUUUCACCAAGAGAUUGCCACACAAGUGAGGCAAUAUCUGAAAAACAAAGAUGCUAAAAAGCAUAUGGCCCCACGCUUCACAAAAAUUACAAAAAAGAAAUCUCAGAAAAAAGUUAUGAUUCAUAGACAAAAAGAGCCGGCCCAGAGUAUGCAAAAAUUAGCAACGUGUGGAAAACCAAUGACAGAAAUACUUAUUUUCGGUUCUUUCACAUUUCAACCAAUUCGUUUUUGAUCAGUUCAACUACAGCCCAAAGUGGGAAAAGAUUGUCUGUCUUAUUUACGUGAUUCUUUCCGAACUAAUGUGUUUUAUAGCAGAAUGAUAUCUGUAAUUAAUAUUCCUCUUUGGUUGAGGCUUCUAUCCACCAGCCUUAAAAGAUCCAUUUUCAUUGUUUCCAGGUAGGUGAUGAGAGCUGGCUCCGCCCCCUGAUUAGUGGCGCAUACUGGAGAACAGAGGCUGCCAGAAGCUGGAAUCCGCGACCCUGGAAGGGAGCAGGUUAAUCCCCGCUUGGCAUCUGAGCCUGUACUGUUUACCUCGCACUCGACUCUAAUCUGUGAGUUGAUUGUCAGCUUCAGUUUCCUGGGAGAGCACACAGCCUUAACCUGAAGUGGACCCUAACCAUGGAGAAGUCCUGCGGAAGCCAAUGGGAUGGCACAGUCAUCUCAACCCUGAGAGAAAAACGGUCCUUCCAGCCAGGGGAGGCAGGAGGAUGCGACCCUCUCUGAAGAACGUGGAGGGAAUCCGUGUUUAUUGUUUCUCUCCUCAUUUCGCCUGAGGGCAGUUCCUUUUGGCAAAAUCAUGGGGCAUGUCGGCGGGUAACAACCAGAGAGAAACCGAGACUUUCUAACCAGCGCACCAGGAAAAGAGACCCCAGGGGACCAGAGAGCCUGGGAGUCAUCCUGGAGAGGAGAGGCCUGGAAAGCGGCUCACCAUUCUGUGUACGAGCAGACACACGUGCCGAGCGCUGCACGUGCAAGGCAGAGCAGAAGCACGUUUGAAAUGAAUCGACACUGGAACUGCCACCAACAGAGAAAGACGGGGCUGCUGUCAGAGGAUAACCAGCGCAAGUCUGCUGAAGCACAACUAAACAUGCCCCAGAGAAUUCUUUAGAAUUUUAGCACACAGGGUCUCCCAGCAUAAACAGACAGUCCUUGCUUUGCACAGCAGGACAGACCGUAAAAAUGGCCGUGCCAGCUGAAACUGUGCCCUGCAGCCAUAAUAACCACUGGGUAAAGUUAGGAUUUUCUGUGACUUUUAGAAAUUUUCAUCAAAACAUCAAAAACUCAUAUUGUCGGUUAUAAAUGUGUGAGGAAAUGAGCAAAAUAGUAAAAUUAAUAUUUAUUUUGUACAUUACAAUCAAAAACAUUAGUAACACAAGAUUAAACUGUUUUCAGUCUUCGUGAAAAACUCACCGAGUCAUGUGAACGGCACCUGCCUUCGUAAGUGGUAUAACUUACUUCACAACUCAUCGUACUCCUUUCUAAGUUUGCAUCAGCUUCCAACGUUUUCUCCUUUGUGCUUCUAACGUCAUGAAAUAUCUCCAGGUUCCUUUAAUGGGAGUUUUUUUGCCGGUGUCCCUUCCUCUGGGACAUCUUCGUCCUUUUUGUCACAACCACUUUGCUCACUUGUUUGAUAAAUUCACUUCACUCGGUUCCUUUGACAGCACGUCUCGACUGUCUGGCUCGUGCAGUCGCUCUGUCUUUGAUGACCCAUUUAUGUUUGCUUUGAAUUUCACUCUCAUUGUUUCCAGCUUCCAUUUCUUCACUGCACUUUCAUCCUUGUUGGCCAAUGCCCUCUUUGGAUGACCCACUUUUGUAAACUGUCAUGUGGGUUUAUCACCGGAGACAAGGAGGCAACGCAACCACAUGCUUUGCUGUCUGUGCACAUGAGCUAAGAGGCGUGCAGUGCCCAGUCACCGACAGACUCUGCAAGAAGUGCUGUCAUCAGUCACCGAGCACGAUGCCAUCUGCUGUUCACGUGUGAUGGGUGGAGUGGGGCCACCCACACAGUUUCAGCGAGACAGAACUUCAUGCAAUUACUCACAGUUACUACACUGAGGUAACCAAAAUUUGAUCCAUGGUGUUGGGGAACUGUGUCGACUAAAUUGGUAACUGAAAAUUCAGAAUCAUAAAGUGUCGUUUCUACCAUAUGCUGCUCAUUAGACGUGAAUCCCUAGUUCUGUCUCACUCUCAAGAGGAGGGGAACUAGGCUCCAGCUUUUGAAGGGAGGAUUGUCAGUGGAUUUGUGGACGUAUUUUAGAACUACCAAAGAAUAUUUGCAAAGAAGAUUUGCACUGAAUAUACAGUUCUGGAUUGAUGGUUCUUUCCUGUUAACACUUUAAAGAUAGUGAUUCACUCUGUUCUGCCCACUGGAUUUUUGAUUCGAUUUUGGCCGUUAUCUGUAAUUCAAAUUGUUGUUCCCUGCA